rnacentral:rRNA from 1 species
UAGGGAAUCUUCCACAAUGGACGAAAGUCUGAUGGAGCAACGCCGCGUGAGCGAAGAAGGGUUUCGGCUCGUAAAACUCUGUUGUUAAAGAAGAACAUAUCUGAGAGUAACUGUUCAGGUAUUGACGGUAUUCAACCAGAAAGCCACGGCUAACUACGUACCAG